AUGUAUUGCUAUUUUAAAAUUUUUUUUAAAGUCUAAAAUACAUUUUUCACAAUUAUUACCAUAAUAUGUCUUUGAGCUGUAUACAAGUUGUAUGUUUCUGUCCUAUUUUUCUUAAGGUUUAGGAUUUCAUAUUUCACUGCUUCCUUUGUAUUUUCAGUUGUAGUUUGAUUUUGAUUGGCUAGUUCUUCAUCAAAAACAGCCAUUUUGUAAAAAUUUACCAUCCAUAUAAUAACACAUGUUGUUCACAAUUUGUUUGGAAUCCAAUUUUACGUAAUCAUUUCUUCUUUCCAACAUUUCUUCUAGUGCCUUUGUUAAUGUUUUAAAACUAGGUAUCUUCGGCCCAACAGUUGUUUAUUACAGGUAUCAUACCUGUAAACAUUAUGAUAUUUAUCUGUGACUUGUUUUGUAAAGCAUUUGUAAAAUAACUAAUCACUGUGUAGUAAAUUAUAGGAAAAAUCAGAAGAAGUGAAAAAAAUGAAAAAAGAAGAAAAAGGGCGAGGAAGACCUAGAUGAAGAAUGUAAUGAAGAAGAAUUUGCUGAAGGUGAAGACGAUCUAGAUGAAGCUGAUGGGUUUUCAGAAGAUGAUGAAGACGAUGUAGGUAGUGUAGAACAAGAUGAUGUGUAAACUGACAUAAUGUACAAUUGAACAAGUCUCUUAAUUUUAUAUAAUUUAUACAUAGUGCAGCAUGUACUCAGUAACUCUGUUCAAUAUAAUUAAUUCUAUUGAACUAAUUUGUCUUGUGUAAAUGUUCUAAGUCUCUAGUCACUCACUGUCAUUUAAGUUUUAAGCAUGUAUUUGUGAAAAAAGUUUCUAAACUUUAGGUAACUCUUGACUGGAAUACUUAAAACUAACUCGACCACCAAAUAUUUACAUAAUCCCUCGACUGGGCAUGGGAGAACCCGGAGAAGCCACACGUGUCAAGAAGCCUAUCAUACCAAACCCUACCACUUUCACAAACCUUAAGAAUGGGUAAAUAAAUCAGAUCCAUUGUAUGGGCUAUCAGACAAUGGUUAUCCAUUUAAUGAUGUCAAUGAUGACAUGUUUACGAAUGAAAAACAUUAUAUUAAAGUAAUUUUUUGAGCAGUUCAUUUAUCAUAUACCUACCUCAAUGGUAAUGUAACUAGUGUGCUGAAAAUAAUAAUAGAAUAGAAUCUCGUAUUACAUUAAACAACAUCAACUACACACUCAAAUUCAGCGAUGACACCUAAAAUAAUAAUCAAAUUAUUGUGGAAAAUAAUAACUUGAGACAAUGUUUUUGACAUCAUAGACAACACGAAACAGGUGAAUCAUGAUGACAUUUAUGGCAAAUCAAGUGUAAUUUUGGGAAUACCUGUGUCAUCUUUAGACAAUCUCAUACCUAUGGAACAGGAUGAUGAAAUUGAUGGCAAUCUAAGUGUUAUUUACUGGCACAGCUGAAUCAUUAGUUAAUAGUCUUGAAGUACAUCUAAAUCCAAAUAAUCAUAAUAAGAGAAAGUCUAGAGUAAGCCUGAAAGGUGAUACUAGACAAUUUAGAAUUUAUCGAAAUCAAAAAAGAAAUACUGGUUUGGAAUAUACGACUAAUACAGGGAAAACAGUCAAACCUACAUCAUCUAAAAUACUUCUAGAUUGUAAAGCCAAGUGUAUAAGUAAAAUAGGAGAUGAUUUACAUGAUUAAUUGUGUAACUUGUAUUGGUUAAUGGGUAGUUUUAAUAGACAAACCGCUUAGAUGUCUAAACGUAUUACAUGUUGUCCUAAGAUAAAUUGUAGAAAAAGAAGAGAUACAAUAGAAAAACAAAAACCAAUUGAAAAUACAUCAAUAUUAUGUACCAAAAGAUGAUGAGUUAAUAUGUGUACGUGAAAAUAUUAAGUUUUUGAGAAUUAUUUGUACUUAAAUGCUGAAUUCACCUGCAAAACGAUGCUCUCCAGGUAAAAGAGGUUGUGCACCGCAUGGAAACAAAGGCUCUCAGUAUGAUAUUAAUUUAUUGAUUUAUCAUUUUAAUAGACUCCCUAGUGUCAUUAUUGUAGGAAGGAGACCUCAAAAAGUACUUAGUAAGUCACUUUACAUUGUAAUGAGCUUAUGAUAAAUACAAAAUAAGUGUAGAAAAGCCAGUUAGUCGAACACUGUAUAAAAAAUAUUUGAACGAUGCAGGGUUGAUAGUUAAGAAUCUGAAAUAGGAUACCUGUGCACAGUGCAACGAGUAUAAAAUUCAGCUUACUGAUAAUAUUUUAACAAUAGAACAAAAAUCUAAGAUAAUUGAAGAUAAGAUAAAACAUCAAAAUGAAGCUGAACAAGUCUAUGAAUGAAAAAGAAAUGACAUUGUCACUAUGUCCACAGACCAUUGUGUUUUGUCAUUUGAUUUACAGCAGUGUCCGGCUACCGGCCCCUCAUUAAAAAGCUCUGUUGCAUUUUAUGGACGCCAAUUGUGGACCCAUAACUUAACUAUGCACUGCAAUUGUGCUGCCCUGGGAAAAAUAAAAACAGUAUCCUCAUGGCCAUGUGUCUGUUUUUUCUGGAUCAACAGGAAAACUAUUGCAACAAUUAAUCAUACAUUUACGGUACCAGGCCACUCAAGAAUGGAGCAUGACUCGGAUCACUCCCAAAUUGAAAAAGCUUAUAAACCUUUUCCUUCA